GCGGGUAUGGCGAAAUGGCAGACGCGCUAGAUUCAGGUUCUAGUGAGAAAUCAUGCAGGUUCGAAUCCUGUUACCCGCA
rnacentral:tRNA from 1 species